rnacentral:precursor_RNA from 1 species
GAGAGAGAGAGAUAGAGGGAGAGGGUCCUUUUCUCUCACCACCUCUCCUUUCAAGCUCAGUACGGUGGCCGCUCACCGGAUCCAAGAAGAAAACCUCUCUUCCGUUUAUGAUUCUUUCUCUUGAGUUCUUGAGGUUUUAUUUGGUUUUUCUUUGAGUUUUUACUCGUUUUUCUCGAUUUCUCGAUUUCGAUGAUUCGGAACUAAAUAGGUUCUCUAAUGACAAGUAAGAGCAAGAAAUUUCUAGCACGGAGAAGCUCUCAUGAGAUUGACAGAAGAGAGUGAGCACAUGGCGUGAUGGCCGGCAUAAAAUCUAUCCUGUCCUCGCCGCGUGCUCACUCCUCUUUCUGUCACCCUCUUUCUCUCAGGGCUCAACUCCUAUCCAGAUCUAUUAGCAGGCUUACAAAAUCACUAAAUUACUUUGAUUUGGUGUUACUCAAUUUGAUUGUUGUGAUCUAGCCUUUUCCUCCAAAGAAGCACUAAAAACCACCCCUUAUGCUUGGUAGAGAGAAACCUCAUGCUUGGUACAGAGAAAUUCAGCCACAAGAAGACAGAGAACGCAUGCUUGAAGUACUCUGUCUUUUCUCCCACACUUUACCCUGUCACCUCCUUAUCUCUUAGAUGUGCGUAAAAUGCAUAUGUUUACCCCUGUUUUUCUCAAUCUUUUUCAGCCGUGCUGUCGCCGGAACUACUACCGAGGAGA